rnacentral:misc_RNA from 1 species
CUGGGCGAUCAAUCCCACUAUGUGCUCAUUGUUCCAUAGAAAUAGGGCUCGUUCUGCUACCUGGAAGUGUGGGCUGUUAAGGCAACGAGCAAUCUGUCUAAAAAGAGGAACCAUGCAACGCUGAAAUUCUGCUGCCUGUGUGGUCUCCAACACUUCUUCAAGCUCCUGAAGAAAGAGGACUUCUUUUUGGCAAUUAGUGACAG